rnacentral:rRNA from 1 species
AACGAACGCUGGCGGCAUGCCUAACACAUGCAAGUCGAACGAGACCUUCGGGUCUAGUGGCGCACGGGUGCGUACGCGUGGGAACCUGCCCUUAGGUUCGGAAUAACUCCCCGCAAGGGGUGCUAAUACCGGAUAAUGUCUUCGGACCAAAGAUUUAUCGCCUUUGGAUGGGCCCGCGUUGGAUUAGCUAGUUGGUAGGGUAAAAGCCUACCAAGGCGACGAUCCAUAGCUGGUCUGAGAGGAUGAUCAGCCACACUGGGACUGAGACACGGCCCAGACUCCUACGGGAGGCAGCAGUGGGGAAUAUUGGACAAUGGGCGAAAGCCUGAUCCAGCAAUGCCGCGUGAGUGAUGAAGGCCUUAGGGUUGUAAAGCUCUUUUACCCGGGAUGAUAAUGACAGUACCGGGAGAAUAAGCUCCGGCUAACUCCGUG